UCGAGAUGCUCUGCAAGCUUCUUUGGAUAAACUUGCUGAGAAACAAAAGCAAGAAAUCGAAAAGCAACGCGGCAAUUCAAAUGCUCCUUGAUAUUCUGGUGUUAUGAAAUGUAUAGUGAUAGUUCAAGAACAUUAGCAAGUGAAGUUCUUCUGCCAACCCAAAAUCUCCAAUCGUAACUCGCUUCCCAC